rnacentral:rRNA from 1 species
AUUGAACGCUGGCGGCAUGCCUUACACAUGCAAGUCGAACGGUAACAGGUCUUCGGAUGCUGACGAGUGGCGAACGGGUGAGUAAUACAUCGGAACGUGCCCAGACGUGGGGGAUAACGAGGCGAAAGCUUUGCUAAUACCGCAUACGAUCUACGGAUGAAAGCAGGGGACCGCAAGGCCUUGCGCGUUUGGAGCGGCCGAUGGCAGAUUAGGUAGUUGGUGGGAUAAAAGCUUACCAAGCCGACGAUCUGUAGCUGGUCUGAGAGGACGACCAGCCACACGGGGACUGAGACACGGCCCAGACUCCUACGGGAGGCAGCAGUGGGGAAUUUUGGACAAUGGGCGAAAGCCUGAUCCAGCAAUGCCGCGUGCAGGAUGAAGGCCUCGGGUUGUAAACUGCUUUUGUACGGAACGAAAAGGCUCUGGCUAAUACCUGGGGCACAUGACGGUACCGUAAGAAUAAGCACCGGCUAACUACGUGC